rnacentral:rRNA from 1 species
AUGGAGACGGCGAGGGAGAUCUUCGACUUGAUGACUGAAAGAAGUGUUCCGUCCUGGAACUCAAUGAUCAUCGGUUACGGGCUGCACAAGCAGAGCGAGAAGGCGCUCGAGCUGUUCCUGGAGAUGGAGAGGAGCGGGCCUAGGCCGAACGAGACGACCUUUGUCUGCGUCCUGAGUACCUGCGCCUAUGGCGGCCUGGUGCUCGAGGGCUGGUGGUGCUUCGACAGGAUGGUCAGGCUCUACGGCAUCGAGCCCAAGGCCGAGCACUUCGGGUGCAUGAUGGACCUCCUCGACCGUGCCGGGCUGCUCACAGGCUCGGAGAACCUCAUCCAGAAUUUACAAGGCAAGGCGUCCCCCGCGUUGUGGGGUGCCAUGGUCUCGGCCUCUCAGAUGCAUAAUGGCUCCAAGCUCGGGGAGUUUGUCGGGAAGAAGCUGAUCGAGAUGAAGCCGGCGGAGGUCGGCCCGUACGUGCUCCUCUCGAACAUCUACGCGGCGGAAGGAAGGUGGGACGACGUGGAGAAAGUGAGGGAGGCGAUGAAGGAGAACGGCGUUGAGAAGGACGUGGGGCUGAGCCUUGUAGGGGGAUCAAGUGAACCAGAGACCCGCCUUGGCACUGAAGAUGGCGCAGUGGUGAUGUCGAUGCUGGGCGAGAUGGGCGCGCACAUGAAGAAGCCGCCGACUGAACCCCACGAGUCCAAGUGCAGGGAGGGAAGGGAGGCUAUGAGGAUCUGUUGUGCGUGA